CUCCUAAAAAAGGGUCUGCUUAAAGAGGGGCUUGCGCCACAUAUGUUUGUUGGUAAGGUAAUUGCUUACCAAGACUAUGAUGGGUAGCUGGACUGAGAGGUUGAACAGCCACAUUGGGACUGAGACACGGCCCAAACUCCUACGGGAGGCAGCAGUAGGGAAUUUUCGGCAAUGGAGGAAACUCUGACCGAGCAAUGCCGCGUGAACGAUGAAGUAUUUCGGUAUGUAAAGUUCUUUUAUUGAAGAAGAAAAAUAGUGGAAAAACUAUCUUGACGCUAUUCAAUGAAUAAGCCCCGGCUAACUAUGUGCCAGCAGCCGCGGUAAGACAUAGGGGGCGAGCGUUAUCCGGAAUUAUUGGGCGUAAAGGGUGCGUAGGCGGUUAGUUAAGUCUAUAAUUUAAUUUCAACGCUUAACGUUGUUUUGUUAUAGAAACUGCCUAACUAGAGUGAGAUAGAGGCAAGUGGAAUUCCAUGUGUAGCGGUAAAAUGUGUAAAUAUAUGGAGGAACACCAGAAGCGUAGGCGGCUUGCUGGGUCUUUACUGACGCUGAGGCACGAAAGCGUGGGUAGCAAACAGGAUUAGAUACCCUGGUAGUCCACGCCGUAAACGAUGAGUACUAAGUGUCAGGGUAAAAUUUGGUACUGAAGUUAACACAUUAAGUACUCCGCCUGAGUAGUACGUACGCAAGUAUGAAACUUAAAGGAAUUGACGGGACUCCGCACAAGCGGUGGAUCAUGUUGUUUAAUUCGAAGAUACACGAAAAACCUUACCAGGUCUUGACAUACUCUGCAAAGUUAUAGAAAUAUAAUGGAGGUUAUCAGGGAUACAGGUGGUGCAUGGUUGUCGUCAGCUCGUGUCGUGAGAUGUUAGGUUAAGUCCUAAAACGAGCGCAACCCUUGUCGUUAGUUACCAGCACGUAAAGGUGGGGACUUUAGCGAGACUGCCAAUUAAAAAUUGGAGGAAGGUGAGGAUUACGUCAAAUCAUCAUGCCCCUUAUGAUCCGGGCUACAAACGUGAUACGAUGGCUGUUACAAAGAGUAGCUGAAACGUGAGUUUUUAGCCAAUCUCAAAAAAGCAGUCUCAGUUCGGAUUGAAGUCUGCAACUCGACUUCAUGAAGUUGGAAUCGCUAGUAAUCGCGAAUCAGCAUGUCGCGGUGAAUACGUUCUCGGGGUUUGUACACACCGCCCGUCAAA
rnacentral:rRNA from 1 species